CACUGAGAAGCCCGGAAAUUGGGUGCCUGACCGCAUUUCUGGUCUUCUGAGAAACUUCCAGACUCUGAGCGCCUGAGCAGAAGUGCCUAAGAUUAUUGUUCAGCUCCUGCGUGUGAUGAUCGUCUCAGGCAGGCCACGCACCUGUGUGGAGGGCUGCCACGUAGGGCUGAAGAUUCCUUGAGAGAGGAGCGGACGUGCAAGGAUUCGGCGCCAGGCUCUGCGUGUGCCGUUCGCAAGUUCCGGUUCUGCUCGGGGCUCCUGUAGCAGAAACCGUAGAAGGUAUUCCCCCAAAUAGGUUCCUGAUGGGAUGUGCCUCACGGAAAUGAGCAAAGGGACAAGAGGUGAGUGUUUGAGCCCCGCCCAGAAACUGGUGCCCAGGGUUCUUGUCUCUGGCAGACCACCUCCGACCCGGAGAGCGCCUUCUACACAUUCCAGCAACAUCGUUUAGUUUCUAAAUGAGACUAAAGUUUCUUGGGAAAGCAUGUGGGAAGCCACUUUUUUUUUGGGGGGGGGGGGUUGAGAUGCAUUUGUUAACUUUACUGGAGAGGAGUCAGAUACAUGGAUAUCUGUUGCUGAUAAGGGGGAACAUUUUGAAGAGUAGAUUAGAAAGGAGGACUUUCUUGUUACUGAAAAGUAUCUGCUUCGACCACUGACUAUUUGAAGAGCGUUCUUUUCCCGGACAAAUGUAAUCAUUUACUUAGCAGGGGAACAAGAAAGCCUUUGUAUUUAAAUAGGAAAGUCACCAAGGACACCCAUUAUUUUUGACAUCAAAACUGAGCGACGAGGCAGGAAAAAUCCAGAUUAUCGUGAUGACAGGGAAGAUGUGAUCCAAUGUGUUCGUUUGCUUGAAGGAGGCAGGACAACAUGAGAAUUCAGCAGCGCGGCUGGACAGGAUUUAGAAUUUACAAUUUAUUUAUAAACAGUGGCUUUCCUGCGUCCGGGAGGCAGGUGGAACCGAGUGAUGCCACAUGACCCAAACUCCGUGUUCCUCUGCUUCCCCACGUGUGAACUGAUCCCGCUACCCUCAGAGGUUCCAGGGAGUCACUAUAGUUUGACUCCCUCAGUACCCAAUCCCAGGCUCAUCCCUCCAGCCUCCCUGUUUUUUUUGGAUUUGCGAGUGUCCAUACUUUCACAGACUUCCUUGGAGGUAGGGUGGCUAUUUGACGUGAGUCUGGCCAGAGAGAUGGACAAACUCAUAGAUGUCUCCCGGGUUCCUUUCUUCCUGCCUUAAAAAUGGGUGUAAUCCUGGAACUGUGGCACCCGUCUGGCAAGGAGAGAAGAGGUCAAUGUCAGCAACGGCUUACCGCGUCUCUGAGCUUCGCGAAUGUGCAGAAGACAGAUCCGGGUUCGCUUAAGCUACAGCUGGAAUGGCCGAAUCCUGGGUGUGAACAGAGGCAAGAGUCUGUGAUUGAGAGUGCGCGUCCACAGCCUGCUGUGCGACCUUGGGCAAAUCACUUGACGUCUCUGGGCCUCAGUUGCUCCAUAUGUAAGUUCGAUGUGAGCUCCUAUUACCUUGAAUAAGACAAUAUUGUGGUAAUUUUUGCCCAAUUAUCCGAUCAGUAAAGCAUUUGACAAGCCUGACCUGAUUAACAGGUUACGGAGAGCCUUCUAGCUGUCGGAGGAUGGGUGGAUGGUAGAGGGGCCCAGGGAGAAAAUGGCAGCCCCUGAAACCCAUCCCAUUCCAUCCUCACUGACUGGGCCCCAGCCAGCUUCCCCUCCGCGUGACCCUGUCCCAACCUGCCCGUUCCGCACACAGGACGAUGCUGCUUCACGAAGCUUCUCUGCCUUGGCGGCUUCUCAGUACACUCAGGGGAGAAGCCACGUGCUAACCGUGGUCCAUGGGGGUCUACGAAGCCCACCCACUUCUGUCUCUUCGUCUCACACCUCUCUUCUUGUUCCCAAGGUGCCACAAACAGCUAAUCUUCCUUCAGUUUUGUUUUGUUUUGUUUUUUACUAUGUUACUCUCUCUCCCACCCCAGGGCCUUUGCCUAUGCUGUUUCCGCUACCCAAUGUUUGGUCCGGCCUUCUUUCUCUUUCAUCAGAUCCAGCUUCAGUAUCAUCCUCAAUAAGAGACGGGGGUGUGCAGCCCACAUCCUUUCCCGUUUGUACUUCUUGGGGUGGUAGCACCCCAAAUUCCCUCUGUGGAAGCAUCCCUCCCACACUCCACGGAGCUCACGCGGGGAAGCCACGCCAGGUCCAACAAAUAGAAAGCUGUGAAAGUCUUUCCUUUAGUUUUCCCGGGGGAAGAGCCCUUCGGGCCUCCUAGCAAUGGGGUGGGAAUAGCGGCAUCGUGGCCACACAGGCGGAGCGCUGAGGAAUAAAUGUGACCUUGUGCCCAGGCUUCCAGUAGGUCCUCACACACCCACACCUUCCUGUAACUGAUCCGAGCCUCCUGGCACCUGCACAUGGAAACUGAGCCCCUUUUGAGGGAUCUGGCACCUGCGGGCCCCUGUGGGGCGGCCGCCUCGGCUCCGCAAGGCCAGCCCCUCUCAACGUUCAGUUUGCCCUCAGCCUCCAGUGGGUGGUUCCUCUCCCGCCCCCUUUGUCCCUCUUGCCGUUUCCCUGGAGGUGGAGAGAGGAGAAGAGCCGACUUAAGGAGAAUGACUGCCCAUCACCACAUCCAGCCACAGGUUGGUCCCCCAGAAGCGCUCGGUCUUCUCCUCUCGGGAGGUGACCACAACCUUUUCCCGCGGUCCUCAGACCUCCUCCCUCAUCCCCUCCCUGCUCAGACCCAGGAAGUGACCUCAUGUGCUCCAGUCUCCAGAGGAAAGACCAAUAACCACCCUCCAUUUCCGGCCCCUUUCUGCAAGCCAGGAACACCAACUCUGCUUAAUCUACGUGGGAAGGAUGUUACUGAAAGGAUGUUGAGUAGCUCACGGGUUCUACAGCGAGACUGCAGGGCAACAGUUCGUCUUAGAGGAGCCAAAACCAAUGCCUGGUCAAGGGACAGAGCCGGCGCCGACUCUGGGCACAGACACUGCUGUUUCCAUCACUAACCCUUCCGGUCCUGGAUCUCGGACACUUCUGCUGAAAUCACAGACGAUGCGUCAUUACCACGCCCACCAGAAUGCUGUCGCUAUAGUACCUGCUUUUUUUUUUUAAUUUUUUUUUACGUUUAUUUAUUUUUGAGACAGAGAGAGAGAGCAUGAACA